rnacentral:rRNA from 1 species
GACGAACGCUGGCGGCGCGCUUAACACAUGCAAGUCGAGCGAAGCGGCGGACGUGUGUGUCACACGUGAGUAACCUGCAUUAGACAUUGGGAUAGCCUCGGGAAACCGGGAUUAAUACCAAAUGGUCUAAGAUGGACUCGCGUCCCAUUAGCGAGUUGGUGAGGUAACGGCCCACCAAGGCGACGCUUGGUAGCCGGCCUGAGAGGGGGAACGGCCACAUUGGAACUGAGAAACGGUCCAAACUCUACGGGAGGCAGCAGUGGGGAAUAUUGCACAAUGGAGGGAACUCUGAUGCAGCGACGCCGCGGGAACGAAGAAGGCUUUCGAGUCGUAAAGUUCUUUUAUAUGGGAAGCGGUACCAUAAGAAAAAGCCCCGGCUAACUACGUGCCAGCCGCCGCGGUAAUUC